CGGGGAGUAGUUUAACGGUAGAAUGCGUGGCUGGGGGUCAUGCGGCCCGGGUUCAAUUCCCGGCUCCCCGA
rnacentral:tRNA from 2 species